AUAUUACUCCGUCAAAAUAAGCGGAUCAACUUCCUUAGGAAACCAUCCACAAUUCUCAUGAGCCUCCAAUCCCUCUAUUCCUUGUGCAUUGCAGCCUCCUGCUGACAUUGCACCACGUCGGCUCGUCACUUUGCCACUACGACUAGUACGGUCAAUAGACUUCAGAGCCCCGAGUCUCCACUAUGCUCGGCUAACUCUUGCACAUCACUAGUCCCGGUCCAUAUCGAUCUCUUUAAAGAUCGGCCACACGUAACCACCGAACGCACAAUAACUCAACCCUCAAGGUCAAGCGCGCGACACCUACACGCAACACUAUCCACGACUCAAAUCCAGGCGAAAGUCAUGCAAGGCAGCCUAUUUUCAUCACUCGGUUUUAUGUUGUGUGCACUCAACACGAACAUUCCAUAAU
rnacentral:lncRNA from 1 species